rnacentral:rRNA from 1 species
UGCCAGCCGCCGCGGUAAGACGAACCGUCCAAACGUUAUUCGGUAUCACUGGGCGUAAAGCGCACGUAGGCGGAUUGGAAAGUUGGGGGUGAAAGCCCGGGGCUCAACCCCGGAGGUGCAUUGGAAACUGGCGAACUUGAGUACGGGAGAGGAAAGUGGAAUUCCGAGUGUAGGGGUGAAAUCCGUAGAUAUUCGGAGGAACACCAGUGGCGAAGGCGGCUUUCUGGACCGAUACUGACGCUGAGACGCGAAAGCGUGGGGAGCAAACAGGAUUAGAUA